ensembl:lncRNA
GGGGCUGGAAGAAGAGCCCCGGAGCAUUUCACGUGUAUCUCCGCAGAGAGCACCUGUGCAGUCCGGGGUUGGGGGCUGUGGGGCUUCAGGGCCUCAGGAAACCGAUUCCAGACUCUGUCCUUUUCCCACGGAGGCCCCACCGUCUCCUGUGAACUUAUAAACCGCAGAGCGGACCCUGGGCCACCUCCAGGGGCUCCUGGAUGCCCUCAUGACUAGCAGGCAGGUCCAGCAGGUGCUGACCUAGAGGGGUCCCCUGCCCUCCCCAGGGUCCCCCAGGUGCCCAGGGCAUCCCAGCUGAGAGGACUGGGAGGGGAACACACUGGGGGGAGGCGGGGAGCAGGAGCUGUCCUUCUGUGCUGAGAGGCCAUUUGACCUCUCCCCUGGGAGCAGGAGAGGUUGGGGUGUCGGGACCCAGGUGUCUGGCUGGAGUGGAAGUGUGGGUGCUUUAAGCAAUGGAUGGUGUUGAAAGUCUGGGGAUGGGAGGAGAUCACAGAGAAGCGGGGUCGGGAGCGAGAAGAGGCUAGGAUGCGGCCAAGAGGAACUGCAUUGUCCCAACACCUGCUCAGGUGCCCCUGUCCCCACUAACCUGGGCGACGGCGGGGAGCGGCGGGGAAGCCCUGCUCCUCAGAGCCCAGCAGUGCUCGGAGGGUGCGUCUUCACAGGGCCACCGACUCUGGGCCACCGUGGAUCACAGGCAGACCCCAGGAGGAUCUUGCAAGGCAGCGGAGUGGCCCCACUGGCUCAGCCUGAGGGCUGCUCCUGCAGCAUGUGGAGGUUCCCAGGCUAGGGGCCUACGCCAGAGCCACAGCAACGCGGGAUCCGAGCCAUGUCUGCGACCUACACCACCGUUCUCUGCAACGCCAGAUCCUCAACCCACUGAACGGAGCCAGGGAUCGAACCUGCAACCUCAUGGUUCCUAGUCAGAUUCGUUACCCACCGCGCCACAAAAGGAACUCCAUCAGCCACAUUUACAGAGCAGCAAACCAAAGGACAGCAAGGGGACGAGCCAGGCAGCUUAAUGGCAGCAACACCUCCUACCUUUCUGUCUUUUGUCUAUCUUUCCAACUGUCUGUCUGUCCAGUUGCAUCUGAUUCCUUCUCCAAACACACAGAGAGGCUUCCUUGGGCGGGGUUUUGCUUUGAAGUCCUGAGACAAGCUUGGUCUCCUUUGAUACGAUCCUGAGGCGAGACCAAACGGAGCAAGAGCUGGCUCCUGGUCACUCGCUGCCGUCAUCUUUGUCAUCGUCCCCAUCAUCCGUCAUCGCCUCCUUCACCAUCACCACCUUCUUUUUUUAAUUUUUAUUUUUGCUUUUCAGGGCUGCACCUGCGGCAUAUGGAGGUUCCCAGCCUAGGGGUCGAGUCAGAGCUGUAGCCGCCGGCCGACACCCCAGCCAUGGCAACACUGGAUCUGAGCCGCAUCUGUGACCUACACCACAGCUCAGGGCAGUGCCGGAUCCUUAACUCACUGAGCGAGACCAGGGAUCAAACCAGCCUCCUCCUGGAUACCAGUCAGGUUUUUAACCCGCUGAGCCGCCCUGGGAACUCUUUGUCAUCCUCAUCAUUUUCAUUGUCGCUGUCACCUUCAGCAGCAGCAGAAGCAGCAGCAUCUUUAGCAGCAGUACCCCUGAAGAGCAACCCCGGGAGGGUGCUUUAUAUACGGUUCCAAGUUUCCUGCCACGGCCAAGCACCGCUUGUCCAUUUAAAGGGGGACAUCCGAUGGUGGCCCCAAGGCACUGCGAUGAGCCCUGGGGUAAGGACAUGGCUGGGACAGGGGGGGUGCCUGUCCACAGAGGUGAGAGCUCCACCUGGCUCACAGGCCUGCACCCGGCAGGACCUGACAGGCUCCUUGGCCCGACUGGGGAGCUAGGGUGCCGGGCAGUCUGCCACCUGACCCCCACAGCCGCCCGCCUUCUGCAGUGCUGGGGUGCGGCCCGCAGGCACAGUCAGGUCCGGGCAGGGCCUGGGAGGCUCUGCAUGUUUGGUGCG